CGAGUCGGCCGGGCGGCCGCGGCGAGGGAACCGCACGAGCGAUCGUGCAGGCCCGAGUCGAGGAAAGUCCGGACUCCACAGAAGCAGGGUGGUUGCUAACGGCAACCCGGGGUGACCCGCGGGACAGUGCCACAGAGAACAGACCGCCCGCACGCAUGGCGUGCGGGUAAGGGUGAAACGGUGCGGUAAGAGCGCACCAGCGAUGCGGGUGACCGUGUCGGCUCGGUAAACCCCACCCGGAGCAAGGCCGAAGCUCGCACCGCCGGCCGGCGUGUGCGAGUGCGCGAGUGACCGAGGACUGCUCGUCCGAGCUCGCGGGUUGGCCGCUCGAGGCACCCGGCGACGGUGUGUCCAGAUGGAUGGUCGCCACCGGCUCUCGGGCCGGUACAGGAUCCGGCUUACACGCCGGCUCGUUCG
rfam:Gordonia sihwensis NBRC 108236 DNA, contig: GSI01S06.